UACAGAGGUCUCGAGCGUUAGGCGGAAUCACUGGGCUUAAAGCGUGUGUAGGUGGAUGCCUAAGUACCUUGUGAAAUCCCACGGCUUAACCGUGGAACUGCUUGGUAUACUGGCGGUCUUGAGCCAGCUAGGGGCUACCGGAACAAAUGGUGGAGCGGUGAAAUGCGUAGAUAUCAUUUGGAACGCCAAUGGUGAAAACAGGUAGCUGGGGCUGUGCUGACACUGAGACACGAAAGCCAGGGGAGCGAACGGGG
rnacentral:rRNA from 1 species